UGGGGAAUAUUGCGCAAUGGGCGAAAGCCUGACGCAGCGACGCCGCGUGGAGGAUGAAGGUUUUUGGAUUGUAAACUCCUGUUAAGUGGGAAGAAAAUCCUAUCUCUAAUAAAGAUGGGCAAUGACGGUACCACUAGAGAAAGCACCGGCUAACUUCGUGCCAGCAGCCGCGGUAAUACGAGGGGUGCGAGCGUUAUUCGGAUUUAUUGGGCGUAAAGGGUGCGUAGACGGUUUGUUAAGUCUGUUGUUAAAUCCUCCGACCUAAUCGGAGAUCGGCAGUGGAAACUGGCAAUCUAGAGUGUGAAAGAGAGAAGUGGAAUUCCCGGAGUAGCGGUAAAAUGCACAGAUCUCGGGAGGAACACCAAUGGCGAAGGCAGCUUCUUGGUUCACAACUGACGUUGAGGCACGAAAGCGUGGGGAGCAAACAGG
rnacentral:rRNA from 1 species